rnacentral:lncRNA from 1 species
GGGACCCGGCGUUGCAGAUCUGGACAACGGCGCGGAGAGACACGGCGGUUACAGGUUCACGCGGCGGCCUUGGCUUCGACGGAGACAGAGAUGGCGGCCGACAGUUGCAGCGGCGGUUUUGGAUCGAAGAAGAAAAAGAAAGAGUGGCGGUUGGGUUCGGCUUUGGUGAACGGAGAAAGGAACAGACGAACCUGGUGGACGGCUCGAUCUGCCGGAGGUGCGAUGGCGUGGCAGCUGUAACUGGUGAACGGGGAAGAAGAACGUGCG